rnacentral:rRNA from 1 species
GUGGCAGCAGCCGCGGUAAAACCAGCACCUCAAGUGGUCAGGAGGAUUAUUGGGCCUAAAGCAUCCGUAGCCGGCUAUGUUAGUUUUCGGUUAAAUCCAUGUGCUCAACACAUGGGCCGUCGAGAAUACUGCAUAGCUAGGGAGUGGGAGAGGUAGACGGUACUCGGUAGGAAGGGGUAAAAUCCUUUGAUCUAUUGAUGACCACCAGUGGCGAAGGCGGUCUACCAGAACACGUCCGACGGUGAGGGAUGAAAGCUGGGGGAGCAAACCGGAUUAGAUACCCGGGUAGUCCCAGCUGUAAACUAUGCAAACUCAGUGAUGCAUUGGCUUGUGGCCAGUGCAGUGCCGCAGAGAAGUCGUUAAGUUUGCCGCCUGGGAAGUACGUACGCAAGUAUGAAACUUAAAGGAAUUGGCGGGGGAGCACCACAAGGGGUGAAGCCUGCGGUUCAAUUGGAGUCAACGCCAGAAAUCUUACCCGGAGAGACAGCAGAAUGAAGGUCAAGCUGAAGACUUUACCAGACAAGCUGAGAAGUGGUGCAUGGCCGUCGCCAGCUCGUGCCGUGAGAUGUCCUGUUAAGUCAGGUAACGAGCGAGAUCCCUGCCUCUAGUUGCCACCAUUACUCUCAGGAGUAGUGGGGCGAAUUAGCGGGACUGCCGCAGUUAAUGCGGAGGAAGGAAGGGGCCACGGCAGGUCAGUAUGCCCUGAAACUCUGGGGCCACACGCGGGCUGCAAUGGUAGUGACAGUGAGUUCCGAAUCCGAGAGGAGGAGGUAAUCUUCAAACGCUACCACAGUUAUGAUUGAGGGCUGCAACUCGCCCUCAUGAAUAUGGAAUCCCUAGUAACUGCGUGUCAUUACCGCGCGGUGAAUACGUCCCUGCUCCUUGCACACACCGCCCGUC